rnacentral:rRNA from 1 species
CCCUUAGAUGUCCGGGGCCGCACGCGCGCUACAAUGGAUGAAUCAACGCGUCAUCCUGGCCCGAAAGGGUUGGGGAACCGCUGAACCUCAUCCGUGGUUGGGAUUGGGGUUUGUAAUUAUUCCCCAUGAGCUAGGAAUUCCCAGUAAGCGCGAGUCAUAAGCUCGCGUUGAUUACGUCCCUGCCCUUUGUACACACCGCCCGUCGCUACUACCGAUUGGAUGGUUUAGUGAGAUCCUCGGAUUGGUCACGGCACGGUGGCAACACUGCGUCGGUGUGCCGAGAAGACGAUCAAACUUGAUCAUCUAGAGGAAGUAAAAGUCGUAACA